GGAGGAAGUGACUUGACUAUCACAAACUGAUUUUUCUGUUAAAAAAGGUUUAAAUGUCCAGUUGGUUUGAACAGGAUAUGAGCAUACUCUGCAUGUUGGCAGGUCAUGUUCCAGGUUAAAAUUAUGAGUGGGCUGGAGGUCGCAAAUUAUGAGCAAGUUGAUAAAAAUCAUAACUAUGGUGUUUUUAUUGAAGAUACAUCAACAGGAGGAGCUAAAAAUAAUGAUACAAGGUGUGAAUUUAAAUAAGAAAAAAAUGAAGCUUCUAGUUUCCUUCCAUUUUACAGACAGCUAAACCUUUAUUUUGACCUGCUGUGGUGUGAUGGGUGGGAGGAGGUCAGAAAGGAUGUCAUACGGGGUACUACUUCUUCAGUGAGUCCAUUUUGAUCGCAGAUCUGAAGAAGUUUCUUCAAAAUGGCAAAUAAGGUGAUUUAUGCAGAGCUAUCACCUGAGGAAAGAGUGCAUUAUACUUCACAAACUGCAAAUGCAGGUGAACAGAUAACCUACGCUGAGGUGAAAAGGAGGCGGAGAUCUGACACACCAGAAAGUGCACCAAAGACUACACAUCAAAGUAAUACAACACAGCAGGAAGUUUAAAACUUUUUCAUUACCUGUUAUCUGCUUUGUUUAUUAUUGUAAUUACACAUUUACAUGUAAUGGAAGAGUUGCUUGAUUUUAGAUGUCCAGAGAGAUGCAGGUAUGGUUUAGGCAAAUUUAAACCUUGGGGACACUGCACCUGGGAGCAAGUUGUGACCUUAGGGCACUUUGCUGUAGGCAGCAUUGUAUCUCUGCUGUUCACUGCAUGCAGCCUGGAACACACCAGCUCAGUGGAAUCUCUGGCCUCUCAUGUCCCUUCUUCAGUUGUGGUGUUUUGGUUCAGAAAUGCCUGAAUUUAAACACUGUAGAAGUAUGGCUUGCUUGUUUGCUUGUUUUUCUGUAUUGUUUGUUUUUUGUGUUUGUUUUUGUUGCUGUUGCUUGUGCGGUGGUGAUUGAGUUGGGUGGUUUUGUUGGGUUGGUUGGCUUCUACAGCAUGGCACAGAAUACAGUGUAACAUGCUGCCAGGAACUGAAUGAGAUUCUCACAUCGACUAUGGUAAUAUCCUUAGGGUAUAGUGCUAUAGAUCAGUUCUGGAGAGAAGAAGUUGUCACUGUCCCCGUCUGCACCAUUAAAAGGGAAUGGUUCUGUGAAACAUAACUAGGAUUCCUCCAAGAAGGAACCAGUUAGAUCAUCCCAGAAGGACCUCAGAAGCAAAUGAAUGCGCACCAUUGUAGCCUGAUGGAGAAUCAGGAGCCUGAAGCAGAGCAAGUGGCAGACAAACUGCUAUCUCAUGCCUUUUGCAAGUAGAUUCGUACAAAACACAGCGACUCCACACUCAUUCAGCCCACAAAUACCCCACUUUUAUGGAGUAACGGACAGUAUCACUCUCCAUCUUUUCUGCAGAUAAUUUUGAUUUGUUUUUCUCUGAUCCCUAAUCCUGAGAGGAUACUUGGAACACGUGGUUAAAGUUUUUCAAUUGACACAACAGAAAACUCUUUGUUCUUUUUAGCAAUGAUUCCCAUGUGUUUUGUUUUUUUUUUUUUUUUCCAGAUGCAUUUAGAAACAACAAACAGGUUGGCAAUAUCAUUUAAAGCACAGAAAUUGAAUUAUUUUUAGAAAGUGAUCAAUAAUUAGGCCCUAAACAGUUAUUCAGUAAGUUCAGAUAACUUGUAUCUGAUCUUUUCUGAGGUGCAAAUGUUAAGAUACAUUGCAUUACUUUUUCAAAAACUGGGACUUGCCCUUAAAGUAAAUUUUGUUUUUCAAAGUAAAAUAAUGUAUUGGAUAUGAGUUUCAAUUUGCAUGUAUGAGGUGAACACGACUAAGAGAUGGAAAGAAAAUAUUUGCACUCAUGCAAUGGAGAAGAACAACAAGUUAUUUUUAGAAAAAAAUGUCAGCUGUGGAAAGUGCUAAGUGAGAACAAAUGUUCCAAUUGCUGGGUUAAUUUGACCUUACUAGAGGGGAAAAGAAACUGAAAGCUUCAGACAAUGUUUCUUAUUAAUAGUGGCAGUAAGUGAGAAAGGAAAGUGGAUUAAAUGCAUAUCACAGUCCUAUUGUUAUAAGGGUGAAACCAGUUUACUGGCUACUUUUAAAUUCACUCUUAUUUUGUGUUGCUGAAUUUGGGAUUGUACUGGAGAAUCAAAAGUCUUAUAAGUGAUGCAAUGUAUUGUUUUGAUUUUGCCUAUGCUAUCCAUAUUUCCAGGUUCGCAAAAUUUUAGAAUCAGAGAACCAUUACAGAGUCAUAGAAUGACAUGAGUUGGAAGGGGCCCUUAAGUAUCACAAAGUCAAACUCUUGGCUCCACACAGAACCACCCAAAAAUCAGACCAUAUGCCUGAGAGUGUUGUCCAGACUCUUGAACUCUGGCAAGCUCUGUGCCGACCACUUUCUUGGGGAGGCUGUUCCUGACCUCACUCUUGGUGAAGAACAUUUUCCUGAACCAGCCUGAACCACCCCUGUCUCAGCUUCAUGGCAUUCCCUCAGGUUCUCUCACUGGUCACCAGAGAGAGGAGAUCAGCACUACUCCUCUGCUCCCUAUUGUGAGAAAGGUGUAGGCCAUGAUGAGGUCUGCUCUCAGUCUGCUCUAGGCUGAACAAACCAAGGAACCUCAGCCGCUCCUCAUAUUCUUCCUGUCUAGAUCCUUUACCAUCUUUUUAGCCCUCCUUUGGACAUUUUCUAAUAACUUUAUGUCCUUCUUGUACCGUGGCACUCAAAACCGCACACAGUACUCAAGGUGAGGCUGUACAAGUGCAGUGUAGAGUGGGACAAUCACUUCCUUCGACCAGCUAGCAAUUCCAUGCUUGAUGCACCUCAGGAUAUGGUUGGCUUUCCUGGCUGCCUGAGCACACUGUUGACUCAUGUUCAACUCACUGCUGACCAAGACCCCCAGACCUCUUUCAGCAGGGUUGCUGUGCAGAAUCUCAUCUCUAAGUUUGUAUGCGUAGCCAGGAUUGUCCCUUCUCACGUGCAGAAUCUGGCACUUGCUCUUGUUAAAUUAACUUCAUGCAGUUAGUGAUUGCCCAGCCCUCUAAUUUGUCUAAAUCUCUCUGCAAGGCCUCUCCACCCCCUCAACAGAGUCAACAACUCCUAAUACUCCAAUACUAAAUCAAUAUUGUCAGCAAAAAUAGUCAAAACAUCCUUCUAGACCUAUAUCCCAGUCAUUUAUGAAAAUACUAAAGAGAACUUUUUCUAAAAUAAAACCCUAGGGAACUCCACUACUGACUGGCUGUCAGCCUGACAUAACUCCGUUUACUACAACUCACUUUGUCUGACCUGUCAACCAACUGCUCACCCAUUGCUUUGUGUUUUUGUCUAGUUGUAUGCUAGACAAAAGGAUAGUGUCCAGAAGGAUAUUGCGAGAAACAGUAUCAAAAGAGUUACUGAAAUCCAAAAACAUAACAUCAACUAGCUUCCCUUGGUCAACUAGAUGGAUGACCUUGUCAAAAAAGGAAAGUAAAUAAGUUAAACAGGACCUUCCCCUAAUGAAUCCACGUUGGCUGUAACCAGCGUUUGCACUGUCCUUCAGGUGUUUUUCAAUAACUCUCAGCAUAGUAUUCUCCCUAAUUUUACCAGGCACUGAAGUGAUACUGACAGGCUUCCAACUACCAGAGCAUUCUUUCUUGCCCUUUCUGAAAAUCGGCCAGCUUUCAAGCAACUGAGACCUCUCCAGAUUGUCAAGACCACUGAAAAAAUAGUUGAAGGAGGUUUCGCAAUGACAUCGGUCAUCUCUCUGAGUACCCUGGGAUGAAUACCACUGGGUCCCAUGGAUUUAUAUGCAGCUAGGUGGAGCAGCAAAUCCUUCACUGGUUCGAGGUUGGCUGUGAGUUGAUCAUCACCACAGUCACAGUCUGCCAACUCAGGGCACCUGAGGUGCCAGAACCCAUCAUCAGUGUUGAACACAGAGGCAAAUAAGGCAUUAAACAUCUCUGCUUUGUCUAUGUCCUGUGUGAAAGGUUACCAUUCUCAUCAAGUAAUGAACAAGUGUUCUCUCUGGUCCUCCUUAUGUUGUUAACAUAUUUUAAAAAAAAACCUUCCUAUUGUCCACCACAGUACUGGCCAUCUUUAACUCACAUUCUUCACUGAAACAUCUUUAAAGGUCACAGAAAUUAGGUGCCUGUUCUAAUUCUUAUUUCUAUUUUAUUUUAUUUUUUUUAAUCAUACAGAUCACUAUGAAAAGUGUGAAGGAAUAGGGUUCAGAGGAAAACAAGCACAGAGAUCUUGGGCAGGAUUACAGUGCCAAAAGCAGAAAAUGAUGGAGGCAGGGAUUUAACAACAAAUUAAACACAUAUUUCUUUGUUGCGCUUAAAAAGAGUGGUAAGAGCCUAUCUGGGAAAAGCAGCCUGUAGAAUUCCAAAUUACCUAUGAAAUCUUUUUCCAAAAGCCUGAAGAAGAACAUCACAAUUUCCUUCUGAGUCUUCAGCUGUGUAAACUCAGAAUAGUAAUCCAUGUUAGCACCGCUGUUAUGAGCCAUUUUCCAAAGGACACUCGGGGACAAAACAACUAGGUAUAUUGCUGAGCAAAAUGCACUGACAGAGCCAUGCAGCCACAGCCGAUGAACUGCACCUGCGCAGUAAGGUGAGAGUGCUGGCAAAGCUGUGUACAGCUUCAGAAAAUGAGAGAUCAUGUUUUUAGGCAUCUUCUCAGCAUCUAGCAUGAUAAAAACUAGAACUAGACAGGUUCUUCUGAUCCUGAAAAUGUGAACUCAUAUAUAAGCAUAUAUAAAUACGGGUUUUAUUUUCACCUAAUAACUAAAAUUAAUAAAAACAUUUUCCAAAGGAAUAUUAAGUUUCUACAAAUACAUUUUACUGGGAAAUAACAAAAAGCAAACCCAACUUUUUCAAUUGUAUCUACAGCACAUUGAAGACGUCCUCAUAAACUUCACUUUCUACAGGCGCUAAAUGUGUAGCUCACAGUAACAGGACUGCUUCCGUCCAACAAGACUCUUUCCCCCAACCCUCUCCCUCCUCACCAUGAAUAAUACAUAACUUGAAAAAAAAACUUCAGUUGCUUCUGCCUGUUGUGAGAUCUUCCUUCCUUUUCUCUUCACUAGAAGCCUGCUCCGAGAAUGCGCAAUGGUGUUACAUUGCCAUCAUCUUGUACUUCUUCGCACUGAUUCUAUUCAUCACUGUGAUUCUCUUAGCAGUGAAAUGUUAGCCCUGAGACAGAUGAUGUGGUUCUGCUGACAAAUGGGGCUUCUAUGGAAGAUGACAUGCCGACAGUCUGGCCACUCUUCAGUUACUUCUUCCAGGAUUUUCAUUAAACCUUUAACCUCUCUGAUUAUGGGAAAAAAUAUGUUAUUGAUGUAAUAAUACCAGCAACCACCAUAUGGUAUAGUGCAUGUAACAAGGCACUAGCUCAAGCUACUGCAUCAUAAGUUGGAUCUAAGUCUUGUCUACACAACAUAAAUGACCAGGAGGACCCAUUUGAAACAUCACUUUUAUUUCCCACGACUUGAUUUUACAGUAAUCUGACGUGUAGAUAAGCUUUUAGAUUUGGAUAUGAUCAAGUGCAAAAAUGCAUGGAUAAAAUACAGAAUGUGAAUGGUUGCACUAAAAUUUUUUUAUGAGAUACACACAUGUACACGAUUUUUGUCUUUUGGUGGGAUCUAUAGGAGUGGGGUACUGAAGAUGAAGGGACUUCAUUAGUUCAUCAAAGAAGUCUCACUCUCAUUCCCCCACUGGCAUGAAUAAAAUUAUUCUGUUCUGCUUGUCCAGAGAAGUAUCUCACAGAGUCACAGUACGUUGGUUCCAUCUUGGAGCAGUAAUUCAUCUUUUGUUUCCAUUUUUUUUCCACAAUGCAGUAGCUUCAGUUAAGUCAGAGUCCUUCACUAGAACUAAACCACCUCAGAUUCAAAUGAAUUUGUUUGUAAUUAUUAUUUUAACAAAAUAAUUUUUGUUACAAUUUUUAGUUUAACAAAAUCAUUAUUUUGAAUUCUCAUCCAUUAUAAUUCCUCUGAGACAUGUUGAUAUCAAUGAUUUGCAGUUCCUGAGUAGAAGGGACUAUAUAGUAUAGCAAAUAUUUGUAGAAUUGUUCCCUAUACAUAAGCUUAUCUGUACUUAGGCCAUGUUGUUGCUGUUGAUAUGUUUCUAUGUUCUUAUAAUAUAUUUGCCAGAAAUGAGUAAUGAAAUUUAGUAAAGCACUUGACAUGCUCGUGUUUGUUCCUACAGUAGUCAGACAUUUAGCAAGUGCAUGACUGCAGUGCUUCUGAGCUGUUGUCAUGAAGCAAGGUGCUGAUCUGACAAGUACUGUCUAAAGAAAGAAUCCCUGCCUCACUGUGCAAAGCAUCAAAUGACCAGUAGAAGAAAACGUUAUGUUUUUCUUUAGAUUAUUCUUUCAAUUGCCAGGUGCUGAGGGAUAAAUCCAAAUCCAGAAAAAUGUAAAACAGAAAGAUAAAAAAAAGAAAUGGUGGCAGGAGACAUUUGGACAUGAAAUGGACCUGCAUAUUGUUGUCCUUCACUGCACUUAUCCGACUUUAGCUGGAAGAUUCUUUCACAUAAUACGCUCAAAUAGCCCCUACAACCAAAUCAAAUUUCCAGACUAAAUUAAUUAGUUCCAACUUUCUUAAGAUGCAAGAAAUCUUCCACAGUCUUCAAGAGCUACAGUAAUGUAGUUUUGCAUAUAUAUAACAUGUACAAUCAUAGCAGAUAAAGAAAGAAACAGCAUCAGAAAUCAUAGUUCAUGUCAUUCGAGCCCUACCAAAGACAAGUUCAUCAUUUCAGAAUGAAGUAGCUUCACAGGAAACUGAAUGCACAGAUGCUAAGUAUGCAAGCACAGAAAAGGGAUAUGCAUUUCAGAACCAAUUAGAAACCGUCACUUAUUAUAAGCCAACACGAAAUUGCGCAAAUAACCAGAUCUCUAGUUGCUACAAGCAGAUCUCUGGGAAUUUCAGAGGCAGAUCCUACCAUCUGAGAGGUACACUGCAUAGGCAACUGAGUAAGAAGCAUGCGUAUGAUGCUCUGUAUGUUGCUCUGUAACUCUGAAGGAGAUAAAGUAGUUUGUUUAAACUGAGAAGUAACUAACUUCUAAAAAUUGAAGUGACUGUUUUUGCUGGUUACUGAGAAUUCAGCACACUGACUUGUGGUUUUGACAAUGAGCCUACUAGACCAUUUAAGGCAAAUUUAACAAGCUUUGGUCUGAUCCUGUUCUCAACCACACGGUUCUUAGACACGUUUGAAGGGGAAAUGGUCUAUCUGUCAUGGAAUCGUUAGAACAAGGCUGCCUGGUCAUUGGCUAUAUACACAUUACAUCUGUUAUAUUUAACACAUGACUGUAAAUCUGACACUAGAGAGCCUCCCUCCUUUGUUCUUCAUCUCUUUAGCUUUCCCUGGAGAUUGUUUGAUUCCUCCUUCCUCCUCCUUCUCUGCAUUCUCUUUCCCUUUUACUUCAGGAAUAUCCUGGAGCCUUAAGUGACACUCAUUUCCGCUCUUCUGAUUUUUCUGGCUUUUCACCCAUUCUCUUAGCCCUUGCCGCUAUGUAUCAUCCCCUUUGUUCAUGGACACCAUGAUUGUACACAUGAAGACUGAAGGAGAUAAUUAGAAGAAUGCAAACACAUCAUUACAAGGAUGCCCUUUAUAAAACAGCACCAAGCAAAUAUUUAGGACCUUCAUUAAGAGAAAAAUAAAAACAUUA
ensembl:lncRNA